AUUGAACGCUGGCGGCAUGCUUUACACAUGCAAGUCGAACGGUAACAGGUUAAGCUGACGAGUGGCGAACGGGUGAGUAAUGCAUCGGAACGUGCCCGGUCGUGGGGGAUAACGCAGCGAAAGCUGCGCUAAUACCGCAUACGAUCUAAGGAUGAAAGCGGGGGACCGCAAGACCUCGCGCGAUUGGAGUGGCCGAUGUCAGAUUAGCUAGUUGGUGGGGUAAAGGCCUACCAAGGCAACGAUCUGUAGCUGGUCUGAGAGGAUGAUCAGCCACACUGGGACUGAGACACGGCCCAGACUCCUACGGGAGGCAGCAGUGGGGAAUUUUGGACAAUGGGGGCAACCCUGAUCCAGCCAUUCCGCGUGAGUGAAGAAGGCCUUCGGGUUGUAAAGCUCUUUCGGCAGGAACGAAACGGCGAGCUCUAACAUAGCUCGCUAAUGACGGUACCUGAAGAAGAAGCACCGGCUAACUACGUGCCAGCAGCCGCAGUAA
rnacentral:rRNA from 1 species